rnacentral:rRNA from 1 species
AGAGUUUGAUCCUGGCUCAGGACGAACGCUGGCGGCGCGCCUAACACAUGCAAGUCGAACGGAGUCAAGAGGAGCUUGCUUUUCUUGACUUAGUGGCGAACGGGUGAGUAACGCGUGAGUAACCUGCCCUGGAGUGGGGGACAACAGUUGGAAACGACUGCUAAUACCGCAUAAGCCCACGGAUCCGCAUGGAUCUGCGGGAAAAGGAUUUAUUCGCUUCAGGAUGGACUCGCGUCCAAUUAGCUAGUUGGUGAGGUAACGGCCCACCAAGGCGACGAUUGGUAGCCGGACUGAGAGGUUGAACGGCCACAUUGGGACUGAGACACGGCCCAGACUCCUACGGGAGGCAGCAGUGGGGGAUAUUGCACAAUGGGGGAAACCCUGAUGCAGCGACGCCGCGUGGAGGAAGAAGGUUUUCGGAUUGUAAACUCCUGUCGUUAGGGACGAUAAUGACGGUACCUAACAAGAAAGCACCGGCUAACUACGUGCCAGCAGCCGCGGUAAAACGUAGGGUGCAAGCGUUGUCCGGAAUUACUGGGUGUAAAGGGAGCGCAGGCGGACCGGCAAGUUGGAAGUGAAAACUAUGGGCUCAACCCAUAAAUUGCUUUCAAAACUGCUGGCCUUGAGUAGUGCAGAGGUAGGUGGAAUUCCCGGUGUAGCGGUGGAAUGCGUAGAUAUCGGGAGGAACACCAGUGGCGAAGGCGACCUACUGGGCACCAACUGACGCUGAGGCUCGAAAGCAUGGGUAGCAAACAGGAUUAGAUACCCUGGUAGUCCAUGCCGUAAACGAUGAUUACUAGGUGUUGGAGGAUUGACCCCUUCAGUGCCGCAGUUAACACAAUAAGUAAUCCACCUGGGGAGUACGACCGCAAGGUUGAAACUCAAAGGAAUUGACGGGGGCCCGCACAAGCAGUGGAGUAUGUGGUUUAAUUCGAAGCAACGCGAAGAACCUUACCAGGUCUUGACAUCCGAUGCAUAGUGCAGAGAUGCAUGAAGUCCUUCGGGACAUCGAGACAGGUGGUGCAUGGUUGUCGUCAGCUCGUGUCGUGAGAUGUUGGGUUAA